ACUUCUUGGUUUUCUCUUCUCUCAGAUGAGGUAGCUUGGCAUGAAAGAAGAAGAGUAUGGGUUGGUGAUAUAUCACAAAGAUCAUAGAGUUUAAAAAGCAUAAGUAGCAGAGAGAAGAUCCUGAGGUUAGAGCCUUCAUGUAGAUGCUCGCGAGUUAUCACGGAUUCUAUAUCUGAGAGGCGGGAUCCUGAUGGAUUCACUUGGAAGGCAGUGUCCAAGGAGGAGAAAGCAGAUGGAAUAGAUGAAGAGCCAACUUGCUACGGUG